GCUUGUUCCCAGUUGUUGACAAGUCUGGAACAAGUUGUUAUCAUCUUGUAACAAGGUUGACGAGGCCAACAGACUCGCAACAAGUUGUUCCAACAAGUCUGAUAUCGUCUGCACGUAACAAGUUGUUAACAAGUUGAUGACAACAAGCUCGUGGCAACUUGUUACGAACAGCCUGUAUUAGUCUUGUUGGAACAACUUGUAGCAAGUCUGUUACCGUCAUCAACCUUGCAACAAGGUGAUAACAACUUGUUCCAGACUUGUCACAACAACUGGGAACAAGCAGUACGAACAUAUCCUGAUAUCGUCUUGACAACAACCUUGUUACAAUUUGUUUGCAGAUCUGUGACAACU